UGGUGGAGUGAUUUGUCUGGUUAAUUCCGUUAACGAACGAGACCUCGACCUGCUAUUUAGAUGCGCUCACAUAUUGUGGCCGCAAGCUUCUUAGAGGGACUAUCGGUGUGUAGCCGAAGGAAGUUCGAGGCAAUAACA
rnacentral:rRNA from 1 species